UUAAAUUGAAGAGUUUGAUCAUGGCUCAGAUUGAACGCUGGCGGCAGGCCUAACACAUGCAAGUCGAACGGUAACAGGAAGCAGCUUGCUGCUUUGCUGACGAGUGGCGGACGGGUGAGUAAUGUCUGGGAAACUGCCUGAUGGAGGGGGAUAACUACUGGAAACGGUGGCUAAUACCGCAUAACGUCGCAAGACCAAAGAGGGGGACCUUCGGGCCUCUUGCCAUCAGAUGUGCCCAGAUGGGAUUAGCUGGUUGGUGAGGUAACGGCUCACCAAGGCGACGAUCCCUAGC
rnacentral:rRNA from 1 species